AUUUACCUUUUCCUUUCUCUUUUCUUUUAAAGAGUUCCCUUUUUGACAUACAAUUUUGAUUGAAUUAUUUGUAUGUAGAUUACUCUAAAGGUGUGUUUGGUUCGCACUAUGAAAGAUUACUUAGAGUAAAAUGAUAUACAAGAAUCUUACUUCUAUUCAUUCUAUUACUAGAAAUAUAGUAUUUCAGUGUUUGAUUCAUACGGUCAUAUUAUUUAGUCAAUAUUAUUUAAGAUUACGAAAAAUAUAUAAUUAAUUAAUUAAUUUUUUUAAUUAAUUUUAAAUAAUACUAUAAAAAAAUUUCAACAUCUUUUUAGAAAAAAGAGAGAGAGAAUAUAGAUUAGAAAGAGAGAGAGCAUAAUUAAAGAAAUAGAAAGAGAAAUAGAGUCGAGAUUAGAGAGAAUGAGAGGGUUGAGAUUUUAGAAAAAGAGGGGAGAAAUAGCUUAGUUUAGAAAGAGAAAAAGAGUUGAAGUUUAGAGAGAAAAAGAUAAGUUUAGAGAGAGAUAUGAGGUUUAGAAUGUAUAGAAAAAUAAUACAAACUAGCCGGCGGGUAGGAAGAAAGAAAGAGAUUAGACAUAUUAUAAUUAUCCCAAUUCAUUAAUAUAAGGAUACCCACUCUCACUCAGAGGAAUGAGAUUAGUACUUUGGGAUGCAUCUCAUUCCCAAGUAAAUUAAAUAUUACCAACUAGAUUACUUAGUUUAUUUAGCCAAACAUCGUCAUAAUUUUUUAUUUUUAUUAGAUUAUUAGAAAUCUUAAAAAAAUAGCGCAAACCAAAUGCACCCCAAGGUUCAUCCAUAUAUCUAAGUAUAUUUUAAUUGUGACGUGCUGAAAGAAAGUUAUUAAGAAUAAUCAUUAAAGAGGGGGACUAUCUUUUGGAAUAACUAAUUGGAAUCGCUAUCUAAGUGGAGUGAUUACAAAAGUACAUGCGGUAUGCUUUUGCAGAUGUAUAAGUUUGCACUUUACAGGUCGUUGGUGUCAUUAAAUUUUCAAUCUUCAGACGAAAAGAUGUGCGGCUAAGAUAAUAGAGGUUCCUCGGGGUUGAGUGGAUGGUUGGUUUAUAUAGUAUUUUUGUUCAUUUUGAUCGUUGGAUAAUCUAGUCCUUUUUUCGGGUUUAUCUAGAUGGCGAGAAACUGUUUUUCUUUUUCUAGAUCUUUUGUUCGACUUAUUGAUUGCAUUGUUCAAGUUGUACUUUUUUUGCUCAUUUGUAUAUAGCCAAUUAUGCUUCUGAUCCUAUCAAUGGUAUAAUAGCUCUUUGUACUCUCUGUGUUUUAUAUCUGUAUGUAUGUAUGUAUGUGUGUUUAUGUAUGAUAGUGGUCGCGGGUUAGUUUUCUAGCGGUCCCCUUUGGUUGAUUUUGUGUCGUUGGUUUAUACUAUUAAACCAAUAACUCAUUCAACCCUAGGGUGGCCACAUGAUCUUAACCGGUAGAUUUUUUCAUCCAAUGGUCGAAAACUUAAUAGUACCAAUGGUUUGGUGCUAUUGAUUGUAUUGUAGCCGGACUAUAUAUAUUUAUAUAUAUAUAUAUACUGGUAUACUACCGGUAGCACGGAGACCUCCGUGCUACCAAGUUGUUUUCAAUGAUGCGGCUUACAAAUCGACGAUCGGCUCCGUUAGACUUGAUCUACACUAUUGAAAGCAUUUAGAAACUAAAUUUCAUAAUUUUUCGGCAUCAUUUACGUAUCAAACGAGUAGUCUAAAAAUGAACGGCUGAAAAUAAAAAUCUUAUAAAAAAUGAUGAUAAAAGACUUGAAUUUAAAAUCAGAGGUGCUGAUCUUACUCUAAAUAAUGAAAAGAAUUUUCUAUAAAAAUUUCAUCAUAUUUGACUUGUUUUACACCGUUAAAUUCACAAAUGUAUCACAUCUACCAUUAAAAUUGUCAAUUUUGAGACCUUUUGAUCACUAGCCAAAUAAUGUCGAAAAAUUAUGAAAUUUAGUUUCCAAACACUAUUAAUAGUGUAGAUCAAGUCUAACGGAGCCGAUCGUCGAUUUGGAAGCCGCAUCAUUGAAAACAACUUGGUAGCACGGUGGCCUCUGUGCUACCGAUAGUAUACCAGCCUAACUCUACAUAUAAAUAUAUAUAGUUCGGCUGGAAUACAAUCAAUAGCACCAAACUAUUGGUGCUAUUAGGUUUUUGGCCUUUGGAUGAAAAAAUGUACGGUUAAGAUGAUGUGGGCCCCCUAGGGUUGAAUGAGUUAUUGGUUUAAUAGUAUAAUCUAACGAGUGAAAAUAGUCAAAGGGUUUCGUUAGAAAACUCUCUCUCUCUCUCUUUUAUAUAUAUAUAUAUAUAUAUAUAUAUAUAUAUAUAUAAAAGAGAGAGAGAGAGAGAGUUAUUAUCCCAUGUGGAUCAGAAUUAUUAUUGGGUUUAUACCAAUGAGCAAAAAAAGUACAACUUGAACAAUGAAUUAAUAAGUCGAACAAAAGCUCUAGAAAAAGAAAAAGGGUUUCUUGCUCUAGAUAUGCUCGAAAAAAGGACUAGAUUAUGCAAUGAUGAAAAUGAACAAAAAUACUAUAUAUAUAUAUAUAGAGAGAGAGAGAGUUGAGCUGGAAUACUAUCGGUAGCAAACUGGCUCCGUUGCCACCCAUUUGUUUUCGAUAAUAGAGCCUUCAAAUCGACGAUCGGCACCGUUGAAAAUGAUCUAUACCACUUUAAAUAUUUAGAAAUCAAAUUUCAUACUUUUUCGAUAUUGUUUUCUUGUCCAUCAAGUGGGCGUAAAAAUGAAUGGCUGAAAAUGAAUAUUCUCUAAAAAGUGAUGAUAAAAAUUUUAUAAUCAUGAUCGAGAGUAUAGAUCUUGUUCUAAGUAGUUUAAAGAAUUUUCCAACCAAAAUUCAAUUGAUUUGGAUAGCUUUACACCGUUAAACGAGAAAACCCCUCAUAUCAACCAUUAAAAUUACUAAUUUUGAAACCCUUUGAUCAUUAGGUAAAUGAUGUCGAAAAGAUUUGAAAUUUGAUUUCUAGAUACGUCAAGUGAUAUAGAUCAUGUUCAACGGUGUUGAUCGUCGAUUUGAAAGCUCCAUCAUCGAAAACAAAUGGGUGGCAACGGAGCCCGUUUGCUACCGAUAGCAUUCCAGCUCAACUAUAUAUAUAUAUAUAUAUAUAUAUAUAUAUAUAUAUCAAUAGUACAAAGCCCUUGGUACUAUUGAGUUUUUAGCCGUUGGAUGAAAGGAUGUGCGGUUAGGAUGAUAGUGGUCCCCGGUUAAAUUGAUAGCGGUCCCCUAGGGUCAAGGGCCAAAAAUUUAAUACCACCAAUAACUUGGUAUUGUUGAGAGAGAGAGAGAGAGAGAGAGAGUCCGGCUGGGAUACUAUCGAUAGCACCAAGUAUUUGGUGCUAUCGAGUUUCCGCCGUAAGAUUUAACCCUUUAAUUAUUUUUACCCGUUAGAUUAUACUAUAUAUUUAACUAACUACUCACUCAACCCUAGAGGGCCCACAUCAUCCUAACCACACAUUUCUCAAUCUAAGGGCUAAAAAAUUAAUAGCACAAAUAGCUCGGUGCUAUUUUUAGUAUUCCAGCUUAGUNUUCAUACGGUCAUAUUAUUUAGUCAAUAUUAUUUAAGAUUACGAAAAAUAUAUAAUUAAUUAAUUAAUUUUUUUAAUUAAUUUUAAAUAAUACUAUAAAAAAAUUUCAACAUUUUUUUAGAAAAAAGAGAAAGAGAAUAUAGAUUAGAAAAAGAGAGCAUAAUUAAAGAAAUAGAAAGAGAAAUAGAGUCGAGAUUAGAGAGAAUGAGAGGGUUGAGAUUUUAGAAAAAGAGGGGAGAAAUAGCUUAGUUUAGAAAGAGAAAAAGAGUUGAAGUUUAGAGAGAAAAAGAUAAGUUUAGAGAGAGAUAUGAGGUUUAGAAUGUAUAGAAAAAUAAUACAAACUAGCCGGCGGGUAGGAAGAAAGAAAGAGAUUAGACAUAUUAUAAUUAUCCCAAUUCAUUAAUAUAAGGAUACCCACUCUCACUCAGAGGAAUGAGAUUAGUACUUUGGGAUGCAUCUCAUUCCCAAGUAAAUUAAAUAUUACCAACUAGAUUACUUAGUUUAUUUAGCCAAACAUCGUCAUAAUUUUUUAUUUUUAUUAGAUUAUUAGAAAUCUUAAAAAAAUAGCGCAAACCAAAUGCACCCCAAGGUUCAUCCAUAUAUCUAA
rnacentral:lncRNA from 1 species